GCAGUGGUGGCUCGGUGGUAGAAUUCUCGCCCUCCAUGCUGGAGACCUGGGUUCAAUUCCCAGCCAAGGCA
rnacentral:tRNA from 1 species